rnacentral:rRNA from 1 species
UGGAUAACCUGCCUCACACAGGGGGAUAACAGUUAGAAAUGACUGCUAAUACCGCAUAAGCGCACAGUACCGCAUGGUAUAGUGUGAAAAACUCCGGUGGUGUGAGAUGGAUCCGCGUCUGAUUAGGUAGUUGGUGAGGUAACGGCCCACCAAGCCGACGAUCAGUAGCCGACCUGAGAGGGUGACCGGCCACAUUGGGACUGAGACACGGCCCAAACUCCUACGGGAGGCAGCAGUGAGGAAUAUUGGUCAAUGGACGAGAGUCUGAACCAGCCAAGUAGCGUGAAGGAUGACUGCCCUAUGGGUUGUAAACUUCUUUUAUAUGGGAAUAAAGUAUUCCACGUGUGGGAUUUUGUAUGUACCAUAUGAAUAAGGAUCGGCUAACUCCGUGCCAGCAGCCGCGGUAAUACGGAGGAUCCGAGCGUUAUCCGGAUUUAUUGGGUU